UUUGUUCUAGGUUUUUGACUUAUAUUUUAGUUUACAUUAUGAGUUUGCCGUCUCUGUGAAUAACCUAUUCCAUAGCUUUAAAAAAACAACAAUUGCUUUGAUUUUUAGUUCUAGUGAUUUUUUAAAUAAUUUUUAUAACUAGUAAAUUCUAAAGAAAUAUGCUUGUUUUUAGUGCAUACUCUCUUUAAAUAUCACUCUGACAUCUGUGGAAACCCCUGUCAGCUUAAAUAGCAAUGCAUGCUGGUCACUGCCUUUAAAAGCUGCCAGAAUAUCUUAUCAUGUCUUUGAUGGAUUCGGGUGUUGGUUUGCAAAGUUGUUUUGUUUUCCUAAAUAAAAAUGGUUUUGUUGUUGUGUUGUAAUAUUUUAUUUUAAUCUAGUUGUAUUGUGGUGGAGAUAAUAUGUAUCAGAAACCCAAAAUAGUUCAAUGACUCCUUCACUUAGAAAUGGGAGACUGAUCGCUUUAGCUGUUCUUAUCAGCCUCAUUACACUGCUGUUUUCCAUAGUUGUGGAAAGUUUGUCUCUUGACUAUUUGGGUCUAUUUUGAUGCAAUGAGUAUAAGUCUUUUCUGUUCUCAUUCUUAACUUUAAAUCAUCUGUUAGGAAAAAAUGCCAUUUUUAAACCUUUAAAUGUUCUAGAGAGCAAAGAAAACAAAACUUUAGAUAUUAAGAUAGUUUCAACAAGUAAAAUUGCUUUUGAUACAUAAGAUACAAAAAUGACAGAAAGUUAUGUGUUCGCAAUGAAAACAAAAUAAAAGUUACAUGUAUUUUAGUAGUAAAGUACUUAAUUUCAGAGUUGUAGGCCAGAAAGAAAGCAUUCUAUUAUUUUAGAAAAAUACACAUCUCUUAAUUUGGUUUUCAUUUUAAAAUAGGAUAUUGGGAGAUAAAAGCAAUUAAUUUGUUUCAUUCAAAUGAAUGACACUAGUGAACUCCUGGUGUUAAUUCACACUCAUAUCUGUAAGGUUUCUAUGUCUGUAGCUUGUAUGGGAUGAAUUUGGUGUAAAAAGACCAUGACCACCAUCAUUUCUUAGCAUCAGCCCCUGUGUGUGGCUGUCCUCUAACUACGUCACCUUCCAGUCUUGGCUUCAGGCAUUCCACUGCCUACCCAUCCUGCUUUUAUCUUUAAAACUGGUACCUCCUCGCCUCAGCAGGUUUCUGCCCUGUGGGGCACACAGUCCAUUAAGUCUCCAUUUCUCACUUUCUGUCACUUGCCCCCUCUCUGCUUCACAGCUUGGAAGCCAUGACCUAUCACUACAAUCACUCUACUUGCUUGCCUCUCACCUCUUCUCUGCUAGCAAAAUCCUAACCUUGAUAAAUCAAAUACUCCUGUUUUGUCCACUGUAUCUGAGCAGUUAAGCACAAUUCAAGAGGAGAGACAUAUUAAGUGUGCUCAGACAAGCUCAGGGCCAAAAGACUGAAAUAGGCUGAGGAGUUGGUUCAUUCUGCUGCUCUCUGGAACAAUUCCGUGUUCUGCUUUCCUUCUCAAACCUAUUGCAUUUGUAUUCCUCUUUUGAGAUAACUGCCUCAGCGUCAUUGAAAAAGUGGAAGCAAACACCAGAGACCCUGUUAUCAGCCCAACCCAAAUCUACUACCUCAUUGUAUCCACCUCCACACAAUUAGUCUGCUGUCCUGCCUUUAGAGCAGAGGGUGCUUUGCUUAGGAAGUGUGCCUCUGCCCGACCCCUGCUCUAGAAUGCUGUGCUUCUCAGCCCUGCCAUGAUGCUUUCCCUCAGUCUUCUGAAAGACUGCCUUCUCACUUCUUCUCCCACUUGAGCUCCUUCCUUCAUCAAUGGCAAUGAGGUCCUUAGUCAUCUCAGUGCACAGAGACAUUGGUCUGACCAACAGAUGUUCUCUAAAUGGGAUGAUUAGUCUUCAUCGAAACUGACCCCUCAGUCUUCUGGACUCACCCGGUCACCAUCCUCUCUAAAGAACUCCACUCACAUGACCCUCUUCAGGAGCCUCUCUUUAAUCAGCUUCACCUACUCUACCACAGUAAGUGACCCUGCCUUAUCUUCACACACCCUUAAGGUUUCUUUCCUCACUUGUUAAGAUAGCAUGCCCAGUCUCAGAGCCUUAAGUGCCUUCUACAGGCUGAUGCUGUCCUGCUGAUGUUCAGUUUGUGUCUCUAUUCCUCUUUUUCCUGAGCUCCAAACCUGUGUAUCCAACAUUCUUCCCAAAGUUCUGCUGUGAAAUUUUACUAGGUCUCACCCAUGUAAUUUCUCAAAAAGAAAACCUUUGCUUCUACAGAACUCAUAGACACCUGCUUACCUCUACCUCCCACGUGCUGGGAGUGAAGCAUGCUUCUUGCAGUCCCACAUUCCACCUAUCAGAAAGCCCUGCUAAUUCUGUGUGAUUCUACACACAUAUCACACCACACCACUUCCCAUCCUUUGUAACAUUAUCCCUCUAUAUGACACAUUAUUAGCUCUUGACUGGACUGUUGAAGUGGCUCCUACCUAGUUUUUCUGCUUUUCACCCUUGCUACCUUUGACAGUUUAUUUGCACAUCAAUCAUCUUUUGGAAAUAGAUGUGAUCAUGUUAUUCCCCUACUGCAAACCUUCCUGUGGCUUCUCUUUAUUUUAAGAAGAAAAUGGAAACUCCUCUUUAACCUUUAUCCUCCAUGUACUCAGCUCUCCAACUUACCUCCUCCCUCUUUGCCUUCACUUACAAAGUCCAAACAAGUGACUCUGUUGCCGUCGAUGACUGGGCCAAGCUGUUUCCUACCUAAAGCCUUGCUGCUUUGUCCCUGUCUAGAGUUCUACUCAUCACUCAAAGCCACAUCUUCUGUAUCAUAUUGUUGCUCUGGGCCCUGUCACUUUGUGCUAUCAUAGCCUGCCUUUUUAUUCCAAAUAUUUCCCAGUUAUUUGACUGUUUUUAUUUGGGGACAGGAUCUUCCUGUAUAGACCAGAUUGUCCUAUUGCUGCCUCAUGGGUGCUGGGAGCAAAGGCCUGUUCUCCCCCCUUCUCCCUCCCCUCACCAUGUCUGUCUACAUUUCUCAAGUCUUAGGUUUUACCAUUGUAAUUGUUUUUAUUCUCAUUGGUUGUAGAUUGCUGUCUUUAGAAUGCUGUCUGGUGUGUGAUAAAAGUUGUUGACUAGACAGCUGCCUAGAUCUUGAGUGUUCUCCCUACAGUGAGACUGAAAACACUUCACAGAGAGUGAUCCCUCAGUUUAAGUUCACAGAAAAGUAACAUUAUGUAGAAUAAAAAAGUAAAACAUUUAUCCACUUUUACAUAAAAUAUGUUGCCUAAAUUUUUGAAAAUAAUGCAUAACUGCUAAAACCAUUUGGGAAAGGGAUUUGGUGUGAGACAGGGAGAGAAGCUGAGUCUCUGAGAGUUCAGUUAUGGUUUGGGCAAAUCAGAGUUAGAUUUUCUAACAUCAUGUCUUCAUUAAUUCCGAUUAUUUUUUCAACAAGAUAUUAUUUGGAUGGAUUUCAAAGAGCUCAUUGUAAGCCAGGGGAAAGGAAGCACAGAAAGACUUCAUUUAUCAGCUGUCUUCCAGGAGCAAAGUCCCCACACGCCAUUGGCCAUGUUAGCUCGAUGCAUGUAAGAGUUCUCCAUUCUAAAUGAUGUUUUUCCGACAUGCUCUGCAUGCUAGCCUUGUUCUUUCAAACAAAAAAUGCAAAAGUCAUCAACCCACAGUCAAUAUUGUAGUACAACCUAAGAGGCCCCCUGUAACGAUGUGACGUCUGUGGUCCCUCCUUGCUCCUUUCAUAAUUCACCAGCCCUUCACGUGCCCUACUUCACGCUGCUGACAACUGCUUUCCACUUGAUUGACUUUUAUAAUCCAUCCAUGGGAAGGGGCAACCCUUAAUAUCACCAGGGUCCCCACACCUCUAGACCACUGCUGGGAGACUUUGGUACUAGGGGUAGAAAUAGUGAAAUAAUUAAAAACACACUGAAGUGAUGAUGUAGAUGAGAAUUUUAUGACUUCUCAUCAUUAAGGAUGACUCAUAAAAGACUUGACUUGUCUUUUGAUAAGUGGACUGGGGCCUCACAUUGCAUGAUAGUGCUUACUAUAAUCCUGUUAACAGAAUUUGAAGAUAUGGCUCCUAUUUAGGAUAACUGUAGGUUCUAGUUUCAAUAACUGUUUUCUUUUUCAAACAAAUGUAUUUAUUUUACAUCCAAUAUCAGCCCCCUUCCUCCCAGUACCUCUCACACAGAUCCUACCUCCAUUGUAGGACUAGACUCAUCCUUUCCCACUGAGGCCAGACAAGGCAGCCCAGCUAGGGGAAUGGGAUCCACAGGCAAGCAACAGAUUCAUGGACAGCUCCCACUUAACUUGUUGGGAGACCCACAUGAAGACCAAGCUGCUCUUCUGCUACAUAUGUGCAGGGGGCUUAGGUCUAGCCCAUGCUCGCUCUUUGGUUGGUGGUUCAGAGUCUGAGAACCCCUAAAGGUCCAGAUUAGUUGACUCUGUUGGUCUUUCUGAGGAGUCCCUGUCCUCUUCGUGUCCCUCAAUCCUUCCCCCAGCUCUUCCACAAAGCUUCCUGAGCUCCAUCUAAUGUUUGGCUGUGGGUCUCUAUUUGUUUCCAUUGACUGCUAGGUGGAGCCUCUCAAAGGAUAGUUAUGCUAGGCAUCAAUAACUAUUUUUCAGUGUGUGUGUGUGUGUGUGUGUGUGUGUGUGUGUGUUUGCGUGUGUGUUUGCGUGUGUGUACACUUUUUUAUAUACAUACAGGGGCUAGAAAAUAACCACAUGCUUUUCUUCAGGAAUCAUUUGCCUUGUUUUCAGACAGAGUCACUCACAAUCCUGGAGCUCAGUAAAUAGUCUGGCCUCAGAGCCCCUGAGUCUGCCUGUCUCUGACUUCAUGUGUUGGGAUAAUAAGUGCAUAACACCUAGAUAUUUUUCAACAUGGGUUCUGAGGAUCAAACUCAGAUCCUCACACUUGUGAGACUAACACUCCUGAUGGGGCCAUCUCCCCAGGUGCUCCUCUCCCCUUCAGACCAGUUCAGAUCAGACCAGACUGAUCUAAACUCAAGAUGAGCUUGAACUUCUGACCUUCUUCUUCUUCUUCUUCCUUUUGAGUGCUAGUGUUCCAAGUGUGCACCACUGUGACUAGUUUUCUGCUGUUCUGAGGAUGAACCCAGGAUUUGUACAUGUUAGGUGCAUUCUACUAACUGAACUGCAUCUCUAGCCCUUUUCACUCUGAUGUUUAAUAUUACCUUCAUUCUCAAUUGCUACUCAACUGUGAGUAUAAAUUUAUAUAUAUAUACAUAUAUAUAUUCUAAAUAUAAGUAUAUUUUAAAUAAUUUGUAAAGCAUCAGAAAUUUUUCAAUUAUUCCCAAAUAUAGCUUCUUGUAAUUUAAACUCAGAUAAGGGAUUUGUAAAUGAUGUCAGUGGGUGUAUACUUAGUACAAAAAGUUAAAUUCCAUAUGUUAAGUAAAAACAAAUAUGAAUGAAGUAUUUCCUCAUGUCUCUUCUAGAGAUUUGGUAUGAUACAGUGAUGCAAACAUAUGUGCUGAGUGACUAGAUUUAUUUACUUAUAUUAACAAGGAAAACUGUCUGAAUACUGUUUGCUUUAAGCUUUGGGCUGAGGGGACUCAGUGCAUAGCUCAUGUGGUUAGCAUGUGUGAGGCCCUGGGUUGGAUUCCCAGCCUCAAACAAAACAAGUUUCAGAGACUUAGAAUACAGAAGUGUCAUGGAUGUGAAGACAUUUCUAUUUUGUGAAACAUAAUUCAAAGUCCUCUUAUAUUACUUAAGCUAGCAUAUAUUUUGGCUUUGAUAGACCAGGUAGAGCAUAUUUUUUAGAAAAUUUAGGUAAUUAAUUCAGCUCUCCUAAGCUACACUGAGAGGUUUGUAAAGGUGCAGGUUGUUCUGCGGGGUCCCUGGUGUACCGCCCCUUUCGUCUGUGCUGAGUGUGCAGCAGGUUCUUGCAGCUCAGGACUGAACCUGAAACCAAAGCGUUUCCAUUCUUGUGGAUUAGCUUGCAUCUAGGAUCUAUAAUCCAUAAUAGUAUUUCACUUUAUUAAAUUUCAUUCUGUGAAAAUUCAAACUUAACAGCACUUCUCAGUGUUUUACAAAACUGCUCUUCCAUUAGGAAACUAAACAAAACACUAAGACAUUGAACUCAGUGAACAUUGCCUAAGAAUAGUCAGUGAGUGUAGCUAGGAACUGGUUAAACGAAUGACCUAGAAAUUAUCCUUAAGAGAUGAUCCUUUUAGAGAUGAACAGGGUCUUUACUUUUUGUGCUAUCAUAUGAGACUUGGUUAAUGCAGUAAGGUAUAUUUCAAGCAAAGAAUAUAACCCCUCAAAACAUUGGAAGGAAGGACUGCCUGGGUAGAUGUGAGUUCAUUUCAUAGCUAGUUUAGCUUCAUCUUGAAGCAUAAAUAUGAAAGAACUUUGUUUCAAUUACCUAACACUCUUUUCUACAUUAAAGUGAUGCAUAAGCAGAUAUGAUGGUAUAUGACUGUAAUCCCAGCAAUUGGAAGGCAGAGGCAGGAGGAUUGUCAUAAGUUUGAGGACAUCCAAGGCCACAUAGAUCAAAUGAUAAAUGGUAGGGAGAGAAAUGGGAAUAUUUAGUAACCUACCAAGAUAUGCCUCUGCUAUAAUCUUCAGUCUUUCAUUGGUUGUUUCACUGGUCAAAUGCAUAGCAAAAUUAUCACAAAAAUAAUACAUCCUGACUUCAAACCAUAAUAUCCGUGCUUAACCAUUGCUGUGGGCUUAGAGUUUAGGAGUGGGUUUGAAACUGGUUCAGGAUAAAUCUUGCUUAAGAUAAGUUGUGGUUGCACUCAGAAAUCAGUUAUUGCCAAGGUUAUCUCAACAUCCCCACGUGCAUUCCUGGUCCUUGGGUAAGGAAGCUACAAAUAGCUGGACUCCUGACACCUCCAUUUUGAUGUGGUUCCUCCUGAUCCUGAGUAUCUCCCAUAUUGGCCCACAAGCUUCAUGUCCUGUGAUAUAAACCAAAUGGAAUCUCCAUCAUCUUUUGAACUGGCCUUUGAAUUAAAGCUGUAUUAUUUCUGCCCCUCUUUUAAUUAUGGUUUUGUUCUACCUAGAUUCAAGCAAUAAGAACUCCUCAUGGAGUAUAGAUACCAUAUAGAAGGAAGAGUAUAUAUAUACUGAGGUAUGGCUAUACAAAGUCAAGCAUUGGGACAACUGCCUAACACCUAAGCAUUUCUACCCAUCAUAACCUAACCACACAUUAGCCAACCGUAGAUUACAUGUUGCUACAUGUGACAAAUAAAACAGAAUUUACAAAUUAGUUCAGAAAUGUCUCUAAAUAAACAGUAACAUGAUGGGAAUUAGGCUGGGCCAUCCUUUUCACCAUCUUGGUGAAGAAGGAAGCUCCUGCCCCUCCAAAAUGCGAAGCCAGUGCUGAAAGGCGUCCACAGCCACAAAAAGAAGAAGAUCCGAAAGUCACCAACCUUCCAGCAGCCCAAGACCCUGCAGCUCCGGAGGCAGCCAAAAUAUCCUCGGAAGAGUGCGCCCAGGAGAAACAAGCUUGACCACUAUGCUAUCAUCAAAUUCCCACUGACCACUGAGCCAGCCAUGAAGAAAAUAGAGGACAACAACACUUUUGUGUUCAUUGUGGAUGUCAAGGCCAACAAGCAUCAGAUCAAACAGGCUGUCAAGAAACUCUUUGACAUUGAUGUGGCCAAAGUCAAUACCCUGAUAAGGCCUGACGGAGAGAAGAAGGCAUAUGUUCGCUUGGCUCCUGGUUAUGAUGCCCUAGAUGUUGCCAAUAAGAUUGGGAUCAUCUAAACUGAGUCCAGAUGGCUAAUUCUAAAUAUACACUUUUUUUUCACCAUAAAAAUAAAAUAAUAAAAAAAACAGUAACACAACAUAACUACCAACAACAACAAAUAACUUUAGUGGAGGAGAGAAGAAAAUCACAUUUUCUGAAUUAUUAUGUUAUAAUAUUCCAGAUAACUAGUUUGUGGUCAAAUAGUUAAGAGGCAUGUGAAGCGUCAAGUGUAAACUCAGGGUGAGAAAUACUGCAGUCAGUAGUGCUGGUCCCUGAGCAGCCUAUUCUAUGUUUAAGAAAUAAAAGGAAUUUUCUGAAGAAAUAGGGACAGUUGGUCUGCUGGUACAGGACUUUACCCUAGGUAUUCAAGAGACCGAGGCAUAAGGAUCACAGGACUGUGGCCCCAGCCACCCAGGAGGCAGAGGCAGGAGAAUCACAGGCUGUAAUUCUAGCUACUUAGGAUAAGGCUGAGGCAGAAGGUUCGAAUUUUGAGUCCUGGUACCAACCUGAGCACAACUUAGUGAGAUUCUCUCACAGUAAACAGGGUGGUGGCACAGCACUGUUAUAGAGAGCGCUGCCCAGCAUGCAUAGGCAGGGACACAGCACAGUGACAGAGCCUCUGCCCAGCAUGCACAGGCAGGGACACAGCAUGGAUAUAAGAGCUCUUGUCUAGCAUGCACAGGGUUCUAGAUCUGAUUCUAACACCUCCAAAAACUAAAACAGAAAAAAAUUUGAUUUCUCAUCUGAAAUUAAUCAAAAUCCCACAUUCAGCAAAAUCCACCCUUUAAAAUGAGAUACUUAAAAACAUUGCCGGCUUAAAACGUGAAUUUGUCAGUCUCUUAACAAACUUGUCUACAAACUAAAAUUAUAAAAAUUUUCAAAUAAAUAUACUAUAAAAUCCUCAUUAACUUGAACAAAACAAGUUAUUUAGAUAGUUCAAUGAUUAUGAAAGCAAUGGAAGAGAGAAUAAAUUAGGUUCCUGCAAAGUUUAAAACCUCUGUGAUUCAGAGACCCCAGUGCCAUAAAGAAACUGAAACAUGUCACAAAAUAGAGGCAAUACUUAAAAGCUUUCUGUCUCAUACAAGUCUGAUAUAUACUGAAUACAACUUAGACACACACCAACACGGAUAACUUAGACGUGAGCGGAGAGUCUGAGUAGACUUCUCUCCAGGAGAAACCACUGCAGCAAGAAGACAUAUCUACACACAAAUAGAUAUUCAUGUCCUCAGUGUCCUGAAACACAAUCCAAAUAGGCAGUAAGUGCUCUCACGCUCUAGGACGCAGACGCUCUAUGGGAAGGUCAAACUGUGGGGAAAGAGAUGUGGAGAGGCUACCCAGAUACUUCUGACAGCCAGAGUAUCAAGUGAUGUAGCUUCUUUGGAAAUAGUUCAGCAAUGCCUCAGAUGUUUUAAACACUUACCUUAGGACUCAAUGCUUUGCCUCAUGUGUGUAUUCUAAGAGAAUUGAAGACAUAUCUACACACAAAUAGAUAUUCAUGUUCUCAGCAGCAUGAGUCACAACAGUAAAGAGCAGAGACAACCCGGACAUCCAUGUUCUGAUAAGAUCACAAAAUGUCAUAAAUCCAUACAAUGAAAUAAAUGGUAUUGAUAUAAGGAGGACAAUGCUGAUGUGUGCUACAAUGUGGCUAAAUCUUGAAAUUGUUAUGGAGAUGAAAUAAGAUAGACAUGAAAAGUCACAUAUCAAAUGCACCUUUUUAUGAAAUUCUGUGAACAAACUCACAGCAACAGAAAGUCCCGCAGGAACUUCUAGCAGCUGAAUGUCAUGUGAUGCUUUGCUGUAGGUGGUUUCUUUUAGAUUGAGGAAGAAGAGAGCCGGAUAAUGGUGAUGCCUGCACAGCUCUGUGAGUAGUCAGAACUACCAAGCUUUGUUGUCUUAGGGAAAAUUUCAAGUGAUAUUUAGAAAAUUGGAAAUGGAAGAAAACGCAAGGGAACUUGUGAGACUGGUCUAUGUCCAGACAAAGGCAAUGUUCUAUCCUCCAUUUCUGAGGAGCACAGGUGACUGCUGUCCUCAGGUCUGUCAGUACCUCUCCUUCUACCUGGCUCUCUGACAGGGAACCCUAAAGCUGAAGCUCUGUCCUUAAGAAUCAUGGGGUGGGAGUGGGGAGAAAGUGCACUCAUGAGUCUGUCUGGGUGCCAGUGUCCUUCCAGAGACAGAGCAGAAAGGUGGAUGGUAAGGAUUCAAAAAGCAGUUUCUUUUUUGUUUUGUUUUUGUUUUUUUCUAAAAUGUGGAUUUCUCUCUGAGAAAUAGAUGUUAGGCUAGCCCGACUUUACUGUCUUUUUCUCCUCGAGACUGUGGUUUCCUUAGGACUUGACACAGCAUCCUGUCCACUGGCAACAGUUCUUUUGAAUUCCUGCCACAAUUCCCUGCUCUUUUCUGGUCCACUCUCCACAGUUCCAAGGAUUCAUCUCCACAUCUAAUGAUUGUUUUAUUCCCUGCAAACAGGCGUCUAACAUGCUCCAUGGUGUCCAUGAUUAAAAAAAAAAUUCCUUGGCUCAAGAUUUCUUGAAUUGGCAUAAACCUUAAAUUGUUGGCCUUUGAUCUGCAACCCUAUAGGUGGAACAACAUUAUGAGCUAACCAGUACCCCGGAGCUCUUGACUCUAGCUGCAUAUAUAUCAAAAGAUGGCCUAGUCGGCCAUCACUGGAAAGAGAGGCCCAUUGGACUUGCAAACUUUAUAUGCCCCAGUACAGGGGAAUACCAGGGCCAAAAAGGGGGAGUGGGUGGGCAGGGGAGUGGGGGUGGGUGGAUAUGGGGGACUUUUGGUAUAGCAUUGGAAAUGUAAAUGAGUUAAAUACCUAAUAAAAAAUGGAAAAAAAAAUUGUUGGCCUUUAUGCCAGAGGUGAGUGGGAGACAGGCAAGAGACUAGAUAGAACAGUACUGAGGUGAGUCUGGGGUGAAGUUGGGGCUGCUGCCAGCUCACACCUGCAGCUCGCUCUGCCAGACUGAAGCUUGUUGCCUGAACUGUCAAGGGGACAUGUGCUUUAGCAGCAGAUAUUUACAAAUAUCUUUGUUGGCUGCCAGAGGCUCUGGGAGUUGUGCUUGAAAAACAUUUUCUCUUAAUUUCACAUCAAGUUAGAAGGGUCAGGAGAAUAAUAGGAGUCGAAAAGACCAUCAUUUUUAGGGAGGGACAGUUAUAGCUUUGGAGAGUUGAGUGAAUUUAGACAGUUAGCUCUUGCCUCUUCAAGCAAGUAAACUAUGAAAAAUAGAGAACAAACGUCCCUGUAUCCCAGACUGUUCACCAGUCAGGUAAAUUAUAAAAACUAGAGAAAAACGUGUGUCUGUGCUCCAGACUGUUUGCAAGGCAGUCAACUGGGCUCUCUCCACCUGCUGCCUUAAGGGCAGAAGAGCCAAAGAGAGAGAGAGAGGGUGGGGGGUAAACAUGCAAGUUCGUACAGGAAUCUGAAACAAGUUUUUAAAAAGUACCUAGAGUGAGAAAUUCCUUUGAUAACAGUAAAAAUCAUAUUUCUGUGCCUUAUUUUUGAGUCAAGUUGGUAAGCUACAGAUACGGUUUGUCAUCAUCAGCCCCAGCCCACUCCAAAGCGCUAAUGCUAUACAGACUCUAAGCACAGUCCAGUCUAUUUUAGAACAGUUUCCAAACCUUGGCUGAGCGUCAGAAUCAAAGAAAAGCAAGUGGUUCUUCCCCAGGCCUGUUCUCCAGGCGCCUCUGGAGAUGGGAGGGGCGGUUGCACAGGCAAAGCUUCGAUAGGAAGUGUGCACUAAGAGCCAACUAGGUGUGUGCUUACUAAUUCACAGCAGUUCUUUUCACUGGAUGGACAAAACUCAGAAUGAAAAUGAAUGAUUGGGUCUCCAUGCAGGUUUGUCUUAGAGUCUUGUCUUAGAAAGCCCAGACUGAUCUAGUGUGGGUCGUGCGGCCUCCUCUACUGGACUCAUUAGAUUUAUAUUCAUGCCCCUGCUGUAAAGUUAGCUCUGUUUGUGGGGGUGAAUUUGGGAACUUCCAUUAAUUUUGUACAUGUGUACAUGCACCUGUAGACAUUAAAUUUCUCUCUUUAGAAAGGAAGUGCAGCAAGAGAACUGACUCAGCAGUCCGAGCACUUGGUGCUCACAGUAUUCACAGCACCCACAGGAUAGCUCAUAACCAUCUAUAACUUCAGCUCCAGGGAAAACACCCUCGGCUGCUCGCACAGGCACAGGAACACACAUGGUAGACAUCAGAUACAUGCAGGCAAACAUCUUAUACAUAAAAUAAACAUAACUCAAAUGUGCUAAAGAAAACUGACUUAAACAAUAAGAAAGCUGCUAAAAUCUUAAAGUCAGAGAACUUUCACAUUGAAAGAGAUCUGGUGUGACGUUUCUGGUCUGAUUGCAGAUUCCUGAUAGAGAGCUUAUGUCACUGAGACUGUGACUAGUGACUCCAAGAGGAGUCUUCAUCCCAUUGCGUGCAUACAACACUAUACAGUGCUGAAUUAUCUGAUUCCUUCUUAUGUAGAACAUGAAUGUAAAUGUACUUUGUAAAGAAUUUUCUGGAUCCCCAUGUUUCAUGAUCCUUUAUUUAGUGGAAAUUAAAUGUAGGAAAUUAGUAUUUUUCUUUGAGAAAGGGGCAUCAGUCUAUGACUGGUCCCACAUUGUUUUAAUGAGAACAAAAGCAAGAUGUUCCAAAAUGACUUGCUUGCAGCUACAAAGCAUGUUUAAGGAAUAAAAAUCUCCUUCAUUAAGAACAUAAAAAAAAUUGUUUUUGAAGUUCUUAGGAUCAGCUUGUAUAAGCAUCUUUGUAAACUGACACUAAAGAGCCCCCAUUAUGAUCUGUAUACUUUGGUGCCAGGAGGGUUUUUUUCCUAUGGUAAAUUAGUAAGUUCUAUCAGCUGCUGAGCUGUCAUGCAGAGAUACAGUAAAUCACAUUACAUUUUGUCAUGGAUUACACAGAGCAAUAAAUUUGGGAAUAAAGAUCAAAGCACUUCUACAAUCACAUCUGAGUGUAGGAGGGAUGUUUAACUUGUAGAAAACUGAUUUAGGUGAAACUGUUGCAGUUUUUGUGUGAAUUGGAAAUGAAUUUGGAUAUUUGGUUGAAAUUGAAUGAGGAUCAAACCCCAAAACGACUUUCCAUUUGAGUAGUUAGUCUGGAGAAGUCUGUUCUUAACAGAACUGCAUGACGUGAAUUAGAUAAAUAAUUACAUGCUGAGAGUAGUGGAUUCAGUGAAAACUUUAUUUUUGGGUUGUAUUUGCUUUCAUGAUUAAUCAGUGAGUCCCAUGCCUCUGUGUUCAGGAGGAUAGGUAAUUAGUUGAGUAUUGCUGUAGUUAUGCUCCGAACUGACCAGCUUGCUUCUUACUGCACAUAAAGCUGUUUAAAGUAAAUCUGUUUAAGUUCAGAAUAGCGUGAGGAGAUCUUGGUAGUUAAUGUGUCUGUGCCACUCCAGAAACUCCUGUGGCGUUAUCAGAAUUGAUACUCCUCCCUUGAUUCGGAUAAACAAUCUCAAGUGGUUGGGCUUUCUUUUCAUUGAACAAUCACUGUAGCAGGGUUGAUGUAGCAAAACCAACAUGCAGAAGUCACAGGUUUUAUGCAAACUAUUGUGGUGUCUCAAGAUUAUGGGUCAUUGUUCUUUUUGUAGCCUUCUGCUGUCAUCCUCUUAUUGACGUUUUUUCUCUUCUGAAAUCUAGAGGAUUCUCACCAAUGCUGUGAUAAAUCAGCCCAACAAUGAACUUAGACAAAUCCCUACCAGAAAACCAUGUGAAGGUUAAAGACCACACCUCCUUUCCAAAUGGGAUAAAGUAAUACAGUGAGUGAGGCAUCUGACAGCCAGUGGUGCUACUUUUGUUCUGAAAGGAAAUAAGGGACCACUCUGUGUCUAUGUGUGUCAGGCACAUCCCCAAGGAAAGCACUAAGAAAGAAGGAGGUGCUGCCACCAGGGCCUGAAAGAGAAAACCCCAGCAGUUUGGAGAACUCAGCAGAAGAACAUGGGGUAUUUAUAAGCCCCAAGUUUUCUAACACACUCUUUUCAGGCGUGGCUUUGGAUAACACUGUGAUGCCUCCCAAAUCCAAUUGAAAACAUCACCAUAAAAACAAAAAGCAGGUAGCUCUUUGAGGAAGCAACCUAAACCCAUAUGGUUGGGAAUUAUGGGUUGUAAUUCACACUGCCUCUGACCAAGGAAUAAAAGGAGCUAAAGACUACAAUAUUUUAGGGCAUUCUGGAACAGACCAAAAUAAGCCAUCACUGAAGUUAGGUCUGUCCAGGCAGCUUCCAUGAAAGUUAGGAGAUGUAACCUAUAUACUUAGUACCUACAGGGCUAGGUCAGACUAGCCUCUGAGGAGCCCUUGUAGUCAUGGUCACAUCAUCUUUAGUCUUACCAUCUGCCCUUGCCCUCAUCCCCAUCCCAGCAUAAAUACGUGAUAGAUCUUGGAAAUGGGCCCUAAUCCUUAGCCUAGUUUAUGUGAAACCUGCUUCUAGUUCUUCCAAAACUGAAAACGGCUCUCUCCUUGAGGGCGCACAUGUCAAGAAUUGUCCUUGUCUAGAAUCUCCAUCUCCCAUGUCCUACAUUGCAUUCUCAAAUCAUGCUCUUUAGGUAGCAAACUUUCUAAUUUCUUUUCUGGGAUUCAAGUUGCAAGCUCCUCCUACAUUUGGGUGAGGGGAAGGGGGCUUCUUUCUGUUUUCCUUAACCCAUUGUCAGUUCUGCUUCUGCUUUCCAUUGAGACACCCUGUGUCUCCUAUGGUGGUAGGCCAUGGAAUGAGAAAGAAAUGUGACCAUAGACCUCCAAAGGCACAGGCAUACACAUAAUGCACAGACAUACACUCAGCAAAACACUAGUACAUAUAAUAGAAAUUAACUUAAAUACAUCCUUCUAGGACAGCCAGGGCUGCAUAGACUCUGUCCCAAAAAAGCAAACAGAUAAGUAAAUCUAAAAACAAACCAACAAACAAACAAACAACCUUUUAAUGAUAUAGCUGUCUCCUGAGAGGCUCUGCCAGAGCCUGACAAAUAUAGAGGUGGAUGCUCACAGCCAACCAUUGGAUUGAGCAUGGUGUUCCCAAUGGAGGAGUUAGAGAAAGGACCAAAGGAGCUGAAGGGGUCUGCAACCCCAUAGGAAGAACAACAAUAUCAACAACCAGACCCCCCCCAAAGCUCCCAGGGACUAAACCACCAACCAAGGAGUACACAUGGAGGGAUCCAUGGCUCCAGCCACAUAUGUAGCAGAAGAUGGCCUUGUUGGGCAUCAGUGGGAGAAGAGGCCCUUGGUCCUGUGAAGGCUCAGUGCCCCAGUGUAAGUGAAUGCAAGGGUAGAGAGGCGGGAGUGGGUGGGUGGUUGGGGAAACACCCUCAUAGAAGCAGCAGGAGGAGAAUGGGAUAGUGGGUUUCAGGGGGUGGGGACCGGGAAAGGGGAUAACAUUUAUUUAAAUGUAAAUAAAGAAAAUAUCCAAUAAAAAAAGAAAUAUGUAUAAAACAGAGUCUCAGUAUGUAGAUGAUGCAGGCCUCAAACUCAUGUUUCAAUAAUAUAUACAUACCUGUGAUGACCAGUGUAGUCAUUGUCACCAAAUCAAGAAUCACCUGAGAAGGGAACCUCAGAAUGAGACUCUCGGAUUAUCCUGUGGGGGUCUCUGGGUGAUUAUCUUGUGUUCAUAGAGGUGGGAAGAACUACCAACUGCGUGACAGCUUUCCCUAGGCAAGAAAUCCUGCAUUGCAGAAAAGGAAGCAAGCUGAUGAUAGCUAGUAUGCAUUUACCAUUCUCCUGACUGUGGGUGGCAUAUUUGCUGCUGCAAGCUCAGAAAGCUUUGCCUUCCCCACCAUGGCAGACUGUAACCUGAAUCUGAGAGUGAAAAGAAACCCUUUCACUCUUAAGUGCUCGUCUCAAAAUAUUUUAUCACAAUAAUGGAAAAGAAACUAAGACAAUAUCCAUGAAAAUUAAAAACAAAUAUUUCCUGAAGAAGUGUCUAUAAGAAUUUUACAGUAGCACUGUCUGUUACUGUCAAAAGUGGAAACAAGUGUUCUAUAUUAGUUUCUGAUCACCUUGACAACAUAGAGUUAGAAAAGUAGCUUAAAGAAGGAAAGAAUUCACAUGUCUUUCUGUUCCUAAGGCCUCAGGCUACAUUGGCUCGCUUCAUUAUUUGGGGGCCUGUGGUGAGACAGAACAUGGUGAAACAUGGUGGAGUGGAGCUGCACAGUAUGUGAUAGCCAAGAAGCAGAGAGAGAGCUGUCUCCUGUUUGCUCCCCCUAAGCCACCUGUCCUUGGAAGGCAUUUCCCACAUUGAGGCUGGGUCUUCCUCUCUCGGUCUUCUCUGUAGUAGCUCCUAAGUACUUAUGAAUUCAAUCAAAGUGACAAUGAAGUUGAACCAUCACGUUCAUUUACUGUAACAUGAAUAGAGUGUGCUAUACUACCCAUACAGUAGAUUUGGCAAUGAAAUGACAUAGUAAUCCAGGCUCUAACAUAGAUGGUUCUUGGACUUGUAUUAAGUGAAAGAAUGCAGUCAAGAUGGGCCUUAUGCAUGGUUCCACUUAUAACUACAAAGUGGAAGAGUCCAUUGAGACAAAAAGAUUCAUUGUCUCUGGUGUCAGGGGGAGAAAAUGGAAAGUGACUGUUUUCAUAUAUCCAGGCUCAAAGAAAUAAUCCUGUGAAUAUACUAAAAUCUACUGAGUUGUACAGUUUAAAGUUUCCAUUGUAAAGCUGUUAAAUAGAAAAUCUGACUGCUACAUAUGGUUGAGGGUGUGGAACGAAAAGUACUUCUACUAUGGAGCAAGUAUGAAGUACUGCUUGGGAGAUAACCAGGCAUUGCUCAGUACAGUCAACCAUUUAAUUUAUGAAGCAUCAAUUCAACUACAUAACACAUGCUCUUUAAACUCAAAACUAUGUCCCAGAAGACUCGCCCUGGACUGUGGCUCACCAAGAGAAAAAUCUGAAGAGCUCAAAUGUUCAGAGGGAUAAGUUAUUCUGAUCUGUUCACUGAAUUGAAGGAUUCUUAAGCAGUGAAAAUAAGAAAAUGCAGAUUCAGCUAUGACAUGAAUACAUCUUUUAAACAAUGUUAAAAGAAUUGUUGUAGGCAACUACACAGGACUAAAAAUAGUAAAACAAAGCAUGUUAGAGAUGCGCACACAUAUGCUCACUUUAAAACAAUAAAUAAAACAUGGGAUAACAAUUAGCUCUCAGAAUGGAGAUGAGGAGGAGGAAGCAUUCAUAAAUACACUUAAAUACUAUAUAUCAAGCUGUCUUGCUGUUUUCAGAGGGUUUGUGUUGGGGUUGUGUGCCUCUGUGUGUGUGUGUGUGUGUGUGUGUGUGUGUGUGUGUAUGUAUGUAUGUAUAUAUGUAUAUGUAUGUGUGUGUGUGUGUGUGUGUGUGUGUGUGUGUUCACACGUGUAUGGGUGCAUUUCUCUUUACUCUGUACAUACAUGUGUAUAGAGAUCCAAACUUGAAAUAUCUUCCUUGAUGAUUCUCCACAGAUUUCCUGAGGCGCAGUGUCUCACUGAACCUGAAUUUUACCAAUUGAACUAAUCUGGCUACUGCUGAGAUUACGGCAGCCGUCAUACCUGCCUGACCUUUUACAUAGAUUCUGGGGAUUUACUAUGUCUCUAGAAUUAACUACUAGGGUCUACAUAAUGCAUGGCAAACAUUUGUCAACUUAGUCAUGUCCUCAGCCCUAGGAUGGCUCUUUAACCUUAGAGAAUAUUACACUCUUUUGUGCGUAAUUUUAUAUUUCUCAGGCUUAAAACAAUUGAUUGCCAUUGUUGAAAGCAGCAGAGUGCCCUAGCCCUACGGACAUGUCAGGAAGAAAAUUAUUUCUCCAGUAAAGAAACUGAGACAGUCCUUUUCAGGGACUCAGAGUAGAAGGAUGACCUGGGAAGCAAAACUGGGAGCCAGCCUAAGACUGAUGUUAGUAGGCAAGCUUCCUAGCAGGCUGUCCUGCAGUUUCUUAAGCUUAUCUACAGUAGAGUAAGUUCUAUCUUGCUUUGACUUUACCCAUAGAAAUGCAGCCGUGCCUUGGAGCUAACAUUACUCAGCCAUUCACCUCUAAGUCUCAGCCUGCCAAAUGCUCCUUUUGAUCACUCUUGCCUGGCCUUUUAUUUCUUCCAUUUUCUCACGCAUAAAGAACCUGGACCUUGUCCUCAUUCCAGUGCCAACUCGCUGCUCUCAGAUGCCUUGCCAUCUAGAGCUUCUGCCAUUCCUAUGAUGCUAAACCUCAGCUACAUUCAAUCACUGUUGUCCACUUGAUGUGUACAUUCUAUGUAAUAAUGUCCAGGAAAGUUACAUAAUUUGCUGUGGUCACACCACCCAAGUUGCUUGAACUUCAAAGCCAGUAUAGUUAAGCACCACGCUCGAGUGCUUACCGCUUGGCAGCAGUUGUUGGUAUAGUCCAUCAAAGCAACUCACAUGUACAGAAAAGAUGGUUGGAGUAGCUUUUAGGGUCCGGGUGGGGUGAUGGGAAAUUAACUACAAAGUGACAUCAUCAGCUGGCCACACCUUUCACUUGCAAACUGAGUGAGGAGUAGGCAUGAUUUGGAUGGGUAUCAUACCCAUUGUUGUCAAGGAAUCAGCUCAGAUAUUCAGAUGAUCAUAUUAUCUAGAAAUGACUGCAAGUGUACCAGUGACCGACAAGGAUAGUAUCUCACAAGUGGCCUACUGUUCAUUACACCCCUUUUUAAUCAAAUAACCAAAAUGGAGGAUUUUUCACAGUACGUGAGAUGCUCAUGGGAUUUCUGAAUAUACCAUGUUGGGAUACUAAGACCCAUGAUUCAGUGUUAGCUUGGCAUUGCUUAUUAUCUGAUCUAUAAUUGAAUUGUUGCCACUUGAUCAUGGAACCAUUUUAAAGUUUGAACUGAAAACUUGAAGACAACAUUCUACUACUGAAAACAACUCUGCCACAUAUUAUCACUCAUUUGUACAUUAUAUUAAGUACAUUUAAAUGUAUAUUAUGCUUGCAGUUUGUGCAUGUGCAUAUUUGUUUGCCUACUUUUUCACACAAAUACGUGUGGAUAGCAGAGAUGAAAAGCAGGUGUCUUUAUACCUCUCCACAUUUUUUUUGAGGCAAGGCAUCACACUGUACCACCUGGAUAGACUGGGGAGUCAACUUAUGCCUGGGAUCCCCAUGCCUCCACCAUCUCAGCACUAGGGAUACAGGCACAAACCACCAGACCUGGGUUUUGCCAUGAAUACUAUAAGCCAGGACUCGGGUCCUGAGUUUGAACAUCAGGCACAUUGCCAGCUGAGCUAUCUCCCCAGCUGUACACCUAUAAAAUUAGCUAACUAUAGUAGUCAUUUUCUAUUGACAUUUGUCAAAUCAUUAGAUUUGGUAUAAAGUACAACAGUGUCGAAGACAUGUAAAAACAUUACAGGAGGUAGAGAUUCUUAAAAUUAAUUGGCCCCAUUUCCAUUAGGUCUUUGAUGAUAAAUUCUUUUUUGCACAUCAGAGAAUAGCUACCUCUUCCCUAGAGCAAACUAAAGCUUCCUUCUCAUUCCCUUAUUCUUAAAGUUUGUGUUCCUGCCCAACUAAUAAAUGAGUUUCAGUUUCUGUGGCCUUUGCUUCAGUGAGCUUCUCUGAGGGUGAGCUUUGAAAUAUGAUUAAAUCUUAAUUCUUUAACUGUUUCCAUAAGCUUGUUUCACAGUUUGCCUUCUUUUUCAAUCAGUGGGGAGAAGAAAUACAUAUAAAUCUUAUGUGAUCAUGUAUGGGUAUUAGCCACUAAAUGUGUGCUGCAGUGGUGAGAGAUUAGUCUUCAGUUAACAGUGUCCUGUGUUAGUCCUGAGGUUAUCUACCAUAAAAUACACGUUAUUUUAGCCUGCAGUAUUGGGCACAGUUACUAAUUCUGUGUGGCUCUUCUAAGGCUGAGCUGUUAAUAUUUACUGAGUGGGCACUCAGUUGAGAGUAGCAUUGAUAAUACCACAGACCUUUGCAGGAACCCUAGUGUCUUCCAUCUCUGCAAAGGGGAUGCCUUUCCACGGUGCUUCCCAGGUUCCGACUGUAGGCAAAGCAACGAAUGCAAUUCCGUAUGCUGGGAAUUAGUCAGAGUGAGGCGUCACUGAGGAUGGAAACAUGGUACUGACUACCUUAUCAUUUCUUAAAUGGGGAUUUCAAUCUAAGGACAGAAAAAGACAAUAUUCUGUAAUAACGGAGUACUUAUCCUUGACUCAAAGUAAUAUUUUAAAUUUUUAAGAUAUAUCUAUGGGAAUAUAUGCUUUGUUUUUGCUUAUGUCUUCAUCUGACAGCUAAUAGAAAGUCAACAGGUUUUUUUACUUCCCUCCAUUGUCUCAAUUGCCAGUUUCAUAAAGGGGUCUUUUAAAAAACAAAUUUCUUUCCCUCUUUUUAAAAAAAUUUAUCUAUUUUUAAAAUGUAUUUAUAUUUCAAGUGUUACCCUCUUACCCGGUUUCCCCUGCUCCCGGAAACCCCCAUUCCAUCCCCCUUCCCCCUGCUUCUGUGAGGGUGUUCCUCCACUGGGGCAUCUAUUGGGCCUUCAUAGGACCAAGGACCUCUCCUCCCAUUAAUACCUGACAAGACUGUCCUCUGAUACAUAUGCAGAUGGAGCCAUAUGCACUCCUUGGUUAGUGGCUAAGUCCCUGAGAGUGCUGGGAUGGGGGUGGGGGGUGUCUGGUUGGGUGAUAUUGUUGUUCAUCCUGUGGGGUUGCAAACCUCUUCACCUCCUUCAGUCCUUUCUUUAAUUCUUUCAUUGGGGACCCUGCACUUAGUGUAAAUGGUUGGCUGCGAGCAUGCAACUCUGUAUUUGUAAGGCUCUGGCAGGACCUCUCAAGAGACAGCUAUAUCAGGCUCCUUUCAACAAGCAUUUCUUAGCAUCCACAAUAGUGUCAGAGUUCGGUGACUGUAUCUGGGAUGAAUCCCCAGGUGGGACAGACUCUAGAUGGCCUUUCCUUCAGUCUCUGCUCUGCAUUUUGUCUCCAUAUUUGCUCCCAUGAGUAUUUUGUUCAAAGGGGGUCUUUACAAUGAGAAAUCUUAUUAUAACAGUCCACCUGCUCAUAAGGAACUGAUCUUGAGAAAGCCAUAUGCAAAUUAGGAUGAUCAAAUCAAUGAUAGGCUAAGCCUGUUUUCAAUAUUCAUUUAAGAAAGUGGUUAAUGCAAAGCAUUAUGAUUAUCUUAUGAAAUAAACAACAAAUAGAACUUUAUUACAUUAAAUUUUCUUUAUUCUUCUUUCAUACAAUGAAUCCUGAACAUAGCCUCUCCUGUCUCCCCUCUUCUAAGUUCCCCGCCUCUCCUCUCCUCCAUUUUCCUUCAGUAAAGAAUAAGCCUCCCAGUGAUGUCCACCAAAGCUGGCAUAACAAGGUGCAGUAAGACUAGGCACAAGCCCUCACAUCAAGGCUGGAUGAGGCAACCCAGUAGGAGGGAAAGGGUCCCAAGAGCAGACCAAAGAGUCAGAGCCACCUCCACUCUCACUGUUAAGUGUCUCACAAAAACCCCAAGCUGAAAAACCACAAUGGUGUGGACUCCGUAUCAUCAAAGACAGUGCUAUAAGAAUUGUCACUGUGACUCAGGGUGGACUAGAGACACACUAAACAUGAAUUUAAGAUGAGACUGAGAAAGAAAAAUACUAAUGAAAUGGUGAGAGUGUUAGAGAUCAGUUAUGGAAAAAAGGGGAUGCCUUAAUCCCAGGAGAGGAUCAGAUGGAGGCUCUGUGGUAAGCACACAAUAGGAGCAGGACCAUUCCACCUUCAUGUUAUUUUCUUCUUUGAAAAUAUGUUAAAGUAUUUGAAUCCUUUUCUACAAAAAAAAAAAACAAACAAACAAAAAAAUGCUGCAUAAAACAUUAGGGAAUUCCAUGAAUUCUUAAACCCCUAUCCAUGGCCCCAGAUAAAGAAUGUCCAUGAAAUGCAGUGGACAUCAUAUCCCUGAAUAUAUACUUAUGAGAGCACCUAGCCCUGGCCUGGGUGGGGAAUAGGUUUGGAGGAUGAUAAAUGCCUGUCGCACAAUACCUACUUUCAAACUCGCACAACUAUAGAGAUCUUUAAUUUUGAGGUUACCAGGGUAUGAUUUAGAUUGAAGGGUCUAGCAGGCAGGCAAUCAAAACAAAGUGGAGCCAAGUAGGAAUGGGUGGGGAGACCUUCAAAGCUGUGACACCAGGACACCUAUGAUACCAAGCCUGAUGGGCCGGCCCUUAGAGCAGCCGCUUCACACAAGUAAACUGGCGACUCUGGGUGUGUAGAGGAAACAGAUUUUGCAAAGUGAGUUGUCAUUAAUUAAUUGUGUUUACAAUGAUUCUGAUAGCUACUCAAUACCGUGGCUGUAGUAAGAUUGGUUGGUGUCAUCCUCAAUUUGUGGGGACAUACAUUUUUAUUCUAAAUCUGUAUGAUGAGUUAGUAAGCUGCUAAGCAGAUUUUAGAGUAAUGUCUGUGUGCAGAGAGUUAUGACAAUACAAACUAGGGGAACUGAUCAAAAUGUUGUUGUGCUAUGUAGCACCUUUCUCCUGUCCCUUUCUUCCUUAUACAGGGGCAGUUACUAGUCCCUAUAAAGGUAUCAUACUGGCCAUGUUUGCGUGCAUGUGACUCAGGAGUGUUUGUCUUCAAUGUUCCCUUCCAUGAUGCAUAGGGAUAAGAUGGCUGGGCUGGGUCCAUCUGUCUUCUGUCUCUCAUUAAGCCUAAGCCAGCUUGCUAUUGCUUCAUGUCUCUCCAGCCCUAUAGUUGACCAAAGGCUGGUUAGAUGUUAAUUCAGGCUUGGGAGGAAGGAGUCUCAACCUCAGAGGCAUAGCCUCUUAUUCCCACCCACUUACCACAUCAAGGGCACUGGGCACCCUCACAGCCUGUAAUAAAGUAACUUUUGUCUCUCUAUUGCUGUUGCUGCUUUCAUUCAUGGCUCCUUCAAGAAGAGGAGACAGGAUGGCAGGCUAGGAUCUAAGCCAAACACCAGUACUAUAACCCUUAGUAGUGAUAGCACUAACACAGAUCUGGGAUCAUCUGCUCAAACGUUCAAACCUCUCUGCAGUUUAGGUUUCUGUCUGAGUCACUGACUGUGUGGCAGUAGACGCUUACUACUUUCCCUCAGCUCCAUUGCCCCAUGCUUCCCCAGGAUAACAGGUCAGUCCCUGUCGCUGUCAUCAAUAUGAUGGAUGAGCUGGCAGCCGCUGUGAAAUUGCAUGUCCCAGGUGACUUUGGACUGCCUGCCUGCAUCCCUGUUAGCCUUUCUUCUUCUUUGAAAGCCCGUAGAUCCGGAAUUCUCUUUGCUACAACCAUGCUUGCUGCUCUCAGACAUCCAAGACUUGAAUGCUCUCCCUGCUUGGAAGGAGAAGUGAAUGCCUGGAGCUCAUGGAGAGCUAUGUCCAGUGCUCUUCCUGGCCUGCUGAGACUACUACCCCAUGAGGGAAUACCCAUGCCAACGUCACUAAACGGACCAGCAUCCUUGCCUGCCUAUGGCAUGAGGGAGGCACAGCCCCUUCUGUUCCCACAGGAGCCUCUUCCUACAUGGGCUUUCAGGUCUUUUCUCCUCUCCCAGGCUUCUCUCCAGGGUGAACACAGGGCCUUCUUUCAGGAAUGAACCCACAGAGAAGCAUGUCAGGCUGUACCCAUUUUCUCAGCCUGGAGACUUUUUUCUAGUCUGAGGUUUGGGGAAGAAGUAGGAGACGCAGAAUAGAUAAAAUCAGUGUCUAGUCGGCUUUUGUACCAGGGCCCAGUGUGCCAAAGUCAUGCUUAAACGCGCCAGUUUGACUCCUUCGCUUACACUUCAGCUUACGGUGGUGACACUCUUUUCUGUAAGUUUGUGUAGGCCUUCAAAGUUAGAAGGUUUAAAACUUCGGAAUGCCGUGGAACAUCACUAAAAUACCCAUGUUGCCACACUGCAGGAUGAAUAGCAGGAGGCUACUUUAUCUUGUGUGGAGUUCUUCCUUUAGUUUCAUACAAUAAACAUGCAUUUCCAUUUUUCAAAAAUAGCUUGCACUGUAAUCUAUAUACCCAACACAUUUGUCUUAAAAGAUCGUUUUUUAUUACAUUUAUUUUUGUGUGAUCUUGAACACAUUUUCUAAGUCAUCUCUUGGUUUGAGUGAGGUCAGCAGAGCACCUGUGUCAGAGCUUCCACCAGACAGAGUGUAUAGAGCACUCAGACUAUGCUUCAAUAGUGUAAAAAAUGAGUGUUCUGUGGAUGCAGUCAUAGGCAUCACUGUUCUUUACUGCCCAACGCCUUGCCACAGCCUUCUCUCUCAGGAAUCUCCUCCUCCCUUAAUGCCUGUCCACAUCUCCUUCCUAACAUGCCGUGUGUUAGUGAUUCACUCAUCUCUCUCCUCCCCAGAUGCACUAAGGCUUGCACUUCUGUGCCUAGCACAGAAGAGGAACUGUAGGAGAUGUGUGUGAGAAUAAUCAGGUACACAGGUGUAUAUCCAGAUUUCAGAAGGACCAUGCUUGUGUGUGUGUGGGCACACUGUAGUUAGUAUGUCUGGAGGAAGAAAGGUAGUCAGUCUGAAAGAAGAAAAUAUAUGAAAGGAAGAGAAACUGGGGAUGGUAUUUGAACAGGCUUUUAACCUUAACACUCUGGAGACAGAGGCAAGUGGAUAUCUGUGAGUUUGAGGCCAGCCUGGUAAACAUAGCAAGUCCCAGAUUAAGCAGGGCUGUUUUAAUGAGACCCUGUGUCAAAAAAAGGGGGACAGUAAGGAACCCUGACAUUUGGGUAUUUUCAAUACGGUCAAUACAAGCAAAUCAGCAUUGCUAAACAGCAUCUCUCUUCAUUUACACACACACACAGGUUAUGAUGUGGUUUCUGCUCAUGUUUUUUAUACAAAAAUUUGAAUGUAAUUCAUAUUUUUUGAUGCAUCACUAGUAAAACCACUUGAGCUUAGAUGUAAUUGUUUUGUGUACAUGUGUUCUCUCAUAGGAAUAUAUGUAAAAAAUAUAAGGAUCUUGGGGUUUUAUUACGUUACAUAAGUCAUUUUAAAUUAUUUGUAGUUCAUAUUAUUUAAGAGAAUCAAAUACUUUGUCUAAAUUAUGAACAUUUAUAAAUGUUGUUAUAAUAUUUUCUCACAACCCAGUAAUGUCUAUAGAAUCUGAUAGUGUUCUUUUCUCUUAUCUGAUAUUGGAAAUUUUUAUCUUUUUUCUAAUUCAUGUUUUAAUGGAUUUAUCAAUUCUGUUGUUCUUAAUUUACAAGUGUUUUAUUUUAUUGAUUUUUUUUAUCUUCUUCUACUGCUUUCUGUUCCAUUAACUUCUGCCCUUCUGCUUUACUGCUCUUGCUUGCUUUGUGUCUCACUUGCUAUUUUUUAAGCUUCUUCAUGGAAGGCUUAUGUAUCCUGUCUUAGAUCUUCUUUCUUUACUAGUAAAUAAAUUCAAAUUAAAAUUUUUCUAAGUAAUAACAUAUCUGAAGUCCACAAAAGUCUCUAACCCUAACAUCAUCACUUAUUUCAAAGCAUUCUCCAGUUUCCUUUUACAAUUCUCUGACUUACAGAUCACUCACCUGGACAUAUUUUACUCUUCAGAUACUUGGGACAUAUCAGAUGCAUGUCUGUGACUAUUUGCUUAAUUUCUUCAUAUCAGAGAACAUACUCUAUAUAAAAUCAGUACCUCUAAAACUUACCGCAGUUUGUCUUAUGGAAAAAACAUGGUCUGUCUUGAUUGCAAUCCAGCUGGUUGGUAGUAAUUUUCAGAUUAUCUUUGUCCUCACUAGUACUCAGUCUAUUGAUAUCGAUUACUAAGAAAUACUAAAUUUUCUUUGAUUACAGCUUAUGAAUUUGCCUAUAGUCCUCUUGUUUCUACCAGCCUUUGCUUCGUGUGGUUUGAAGCUCUUGAAGUUAGAUAUUUGCUUAUUUAGGAUUGCUCCAUCACUGAAUGGAUUAAAAUUUGUAAUUCUUAGCUCAUACAGUUCCUCACUGGUUCUUCAGUUGUCACCUAGGCUCUGCAGCAUGCUUGUUAGUCACAGCCAGCAUUUGCCCACUGUUAGGCCGGUCGUAUGAGGAAGGCGGUCCUUAAUAACGCCAUGCUGCCCCUUUCCAUUCUUUCUCCUGUUUCUACAAAUGUAAUAAACCUUGAAUGUGCUGCUUUUUAUUGAUGCAACUAAUGUUCAGUCUGUGUUUGAGGAGACCUUAAAACAAGAGCGUUUUGUACUCAUACAUGUCAUUUCAUAGCCAGUGCAAUUUGUUCAUUUUAGUUCAUGCAGGCUUCUUUUCGAUGUCUUUGUGUGUUUCUAAGAAGGAAAUGAUUCUUUCAACCUUUAUGUAUGUGGAGGGGUGCACAUGAGUGUGCAGAUAUGUGUGUGAGCCAUGUACACAAAUGUCUUCCCCUAUCAUGCCCUGCCUUAUUGCUCUGGAGAAAGAGUGCCUCACCAAUCGAGAAGCUCACCAUUUUGGAUAGGCUGACUGAGCCAACAAGCUUUGGGGAGGCAUCUGUCUCCAAACACCGUGCCUAUUUUUGUACAUGGGUUCUGGAGUUUUCAGCUCAGGUCUUCCUGUUUGCAGAGCAUAUGUUCUUUCCCAGUGGGCCACCCAUCUCUUCAGCCCUUCAGCCUUCUGUGUGGCACUAGUGAUGAGGCUCUGGUUUGUUCCUGAGAAUCUGUUGUUCACUUUCGGUUUGGAAGGUUACUUCCAUUGUGUGUGCUGCUUUAGAUGAAUGCAUCCCUUCAGCUUUCGUUGCUCCCUAACUUGUAUGGCAUGAGUGACAACUCGCUCAUUAUGUUUUCAUUGUAUCUGUUUUCUCUGGCUGCUUUGAAGGAAAUAGCUUCAUUUCUUGUUCUUUCGGUGUUAGCAUGUUAUGCCCUGAUGUGGUUUUCUGUGUUUAUCUUGUAUUUUGUUCAAUGAUCUUCUGACUUGUGGUUUGGGGGUUCUUUUUCAGCUUGGAAAACUUCUAGCCAUAGUAUCUUCAAAAUUUGUUAGCAUUUUUCUCCAUCUGUACUAUAAUAAUUAUGAGGAUGUGAUGCUGUCUCAGGGAUUAUUAAGGCUAUUCAUUAAACGUAUCUUUUGUCUCUCUGGAAAUAAUUUAGAUAUUAUAAAUUUGAUUUCUUGGUCAAUUUAAAGUUUCCUCUUAGGUAUAGAAGGUGGUUGAUGGUACCAUUCAAGUCUAUUGAGUUCAGACCUAGACAAAGUAAAAAGUCAGCAGCCUUUGUUCUGUGUCACAAGUGACCUCUUAGGGAAAGUUCCUGGUCUAGAAUUUGGAGAGCAGACAUGGGGAAUCACAACUUUCCAGAGCAAAUCCUACUUAGAGAAACCUCUGCAGGAACCAGUACUGGUAGCCUGGAAAGGGGUUGAUGGAUGACAGGGGCUUGGUUUGGGGAAGUCUGGAAGAUAAACCUCUAGUGGAUUUACCUCCAAAAGCUUCACUGGAUUGACACAGUGAACACAGAGGAAUAUCUAUCUAUGCUCCUUACAGAGGAGGGAAAAGUGACCCUUCUGAGACAGCAGGGCAUUCUGGACCCUGAAGCAGGCCUGCCUUCUUAAGGAGCAGUUUCACCAGAGCCCAACCUACUGGAGGUCUCUCAGAUCCUAUGGAACCUAGAAGAAGGGAAGUGACCGACACUAGCCUCAGACCUUCUGUAUGUGGAAAGAGAAGUGCACAGCUCCAGCUCCCUCCAGCCAUCCUGCCUGCCCUAAGAGAGGAGAGGGCUGAGAGACACCAGUGGGGUUCAUAGCUCCGUGAGACAGUGGAUUCUUCGGCCUCCAUCCAAGUCCUGUCUUGUCCUCUCCAAAACUGCAGAGCUUGUUCAGUGAAAGGAAAACAAGGAGAUCUUUAUUGUCCACACAAGAGCAAUCUAAAUGGGAGCUUGGAAACUUGAGAAAGUAGGAACAGGCUGCUGACAGCUCUAACUCUUCACAGGCUUCUCUCCAAGAGCAGGCUCUCUGGCAGAGACCAGACCACUGAUGGUCGGUAGCAGGGUUGAAGGCUAGAGCAAGUCCUAGAGCUGGAGCCGCAAGUCUGGGUGAAUGGUUGAGCAUUUCUUUCAUGACUUGAGCAUUGCUGCAGUCUUCCUUCUCUUCCUGAUUCAGCUAGCUGUCCAGCAAACCUGACUCUGAAAUCUUCCGUCUGUCUCUGAAGAGAGCAGGUGUGUCUUAGAGCCACAACUCAAGCAGAAUCAGCUGAACACUGAACUGCAACAGGAAACCAGAUGUUAGAAAACAAACAAACAAACAAACAAAAACUUAUUGCAUGGAUGUGUGUGAAGUAUAGACUAGAACAAAUCAGGAACAAGCUGUCAAGAUGGAGAAAGGAAAACCAAAGCCUGCCCAAAGGGUCCCCAACCACAUCUGGAGAGCAGUGUCUCUCCAUGCCUGUGCAGUGUCAGGAAAGCCAAGCACUCAGCCAUCCUAUUGGUAGGGAUACAAAAGACUUUACCCUGGGUUUUUGUUUUCUUUUUUUUUAAUUUUUUUAUUAGGUAUUUUCCUCGUUUACAUUUUCAAUGCUAUCCCAAAAGUCCCCCAUACCCACCCACCCCUACUCCCCUACCCACCCACUCCCCCUUUUUGGCCCUGGCGUUCCCCUGUACUGGGGCAUCUAAAGUUGGCAAGUCCAAUGGGCCUCUCUUUCCAGUGAUGGCCGACUAGGCCAUCUUUUGAUGCAUAUGCAGCUAGAGACAAGAGCUCCGGGGUACUGGUUAGUUCAUAUUGUUGUUCCACCUAUAGGGUUGCAGUUCCCUUUAGCUCCUUGGGUAAUAUCUCUAGCUCCUGCAUUGGGGGCCGUGUGAUCCAUCCAAUAGCUGACUGUGAUCAUCCACUUCUGUGUUUGCUAGGCCCCGGCAUAGUCUCACAAGAGAGAGCUAUAUCUGGGUCCUUUCAGCAAAAUUUUGCUACUGUGUGCAAUGGUGUCAGCAUUUGGAAGCUGAUUAUGGGAUGGAUCCCUGCAUAUGACAAUCACUAGAUGGUCCAUCUUUUUGUCACAGCUCCAAAUUUUGUCUCUGUAACUCCUUCCAUGGGGGUUUUGUUCCCAUUUCUAGGAAGGGGUAAAGUGUCCACACUUUGGUCUUCCUUCUUCUUGAAUUUCAUGCGUUUAGCAAGUUGUAUCUUAUAUCUUGGGUAUCCUAAGUUUCUGGGCUAAUAUCCACUUAUCAGUGAGUGCAUAUUGUGUGAGUUCCUUUGUGAUUGGGUUACCUCACUCGGGAUGAUGCCCUCCAGGUCCAUCCAUUUGCCUAGGAAUUUCAUAAAUUCAUUUUUUUAAUAGCUGAGUAGUAUUCCAUUGUGUAAAUGUACCACAUUUUCUGUAUCCAUUCCUCUGUUGAGGGGCAUCUGGGUUCUUUCCAGCUUCUGGCUAUUAUAAAUAAGGCUGCUAUGAACAUAGUGGAGCAUGUGUCCUUCUUACCGGUUGGGACAUCUUCUGGAUAUAUGCCCAGGAGAGGUAUUGUGUGAUCCUCCUGUAGUACUAUGUCCAAUUUUCUGAGGAACCGCCAGACUGAUUUCCAGAGUAGUUGUACAAGCUUGCAAUCCCACCAACAAUGGAGGAGUGUUCCCCUUUCUCCACAUCCUCGCCAGCAUCUGCUGUCACCUGAGUUUUUGAUAUUAGCCAUUCUGACUGGAGUGAAGUGGAAUCUCAGGGUUGUUUGAUUUGCAUUUCCCUGAUGAUUAAGGAUGUUGAACAUUUUUUCAGGUGCUUCUCUGCCAUUCGGUAUUCCUCAGGUGAGAAUUCUUUGUUUAGCUCUGAGCCCCAUUUUUAAUGGGGUUAUUUGAUUUUCUGGAGUCCAUCUUCUUGAGUUCUUUAUAUAUAUUGGAUAUUAGUCCCCUAUCCGAUUUGAGAUAGGUAAAGAUUCUUUCCCAAUCUGUUGGUGGUCUUUUUGUCUUAUUGACGGUGUCUUUUGCUUUGCAGAAGCUUUGCAAUUUUAUGAGGUCCCAAUUAUCGAUUCUCUGUCUUACAGCACAAGCCAUUGCUGUUCUAUUCAGGAAUUUUUCCCCUUACCCUGGGUUUUAAAAUACCACUUUAAAACUGUGUGCCAUUCUCACUAUGCACCCAUGAUUACUACCUUCAUCUAUACCUGGAGCUUUCUGGCUGCUACCACAGCCCAGUCCUGUAGAUGAUCUCCAGUUGUCAAUAUGAGCUGUUAAGUGCAGCCUGCUUCAGCUCUCAGGACACCUGGGAUUUCUCCUUAUCAUCUUUGAUCUCCAUUCCUGGCCACCAUACCAUUAGAACUACAGAACACUUUCUCCCCAAGCCAUACCUAUAGUAAAGGACUUUUGCAAAGAUUUAUUUUUAUUAAUUUUAGGUUCAUAGUCUCCCUGGAACUGGAGUGUUUGUUAUAUUCAGUUGUAAGCUGCCCAAUGUUGGUGCUGGGAACUGAAUUUAGGUCUUCUACAGAAACAGUAUAUGCCCUUCCUUAAAUCCUGAGCCAUCUCUCCAGACCCUAUAAGGGGCUUUUACUGAAGAAAAUUACACCCAACAUAUAAUAUCUGGUUAUCAAGAUAGCAUCAGACAGUAUAACCAAAGACAAAAACAAAAAACAACAACAACAAAAAAAACAUAGUUUGAAGAAACAGCAAAUACUGAAGCCAGUUUCAGAUAUUGAAUCAAGAUUUAUAAUUGUAAUUAAUCAGAUCAGUGAUUUAAAUCAAUUGUGAUUAAUAUAUUAACAAAUCUAAUAGACAACAUAUAUAAAGAAAUGAGCAUUAUAAGCAAAGGGGAAAAAAGAUAAAGAAAUACUAAAGCUAGAAAACACGAUCUGAAUGAGCACCAUCCCAGCCCGCAGAAACUGGAGCAGGAGCACUGAGUUUGAUACCAACCUGCACUUACACAGCAGCCCUAUUUCAGAAAGGAAGGAAGAAGAGCUUUGAUGAGCUCAUUGGUGUGCUGUAAAGAAUUAGUGAAGACCUGCUAAGCUUGAAGGUCUCAAAAGAAAUAUCUAAAAUUGUAAAGAAAAGAAAAAAAACAAUACCAACACCUUUGGGACAGCAGGCAAUGCUUAAAAUUUGCAUAGUAGGACUACAAAAGAGCAGGGAGAAAGGGAAAGGUAUUGCAGGAAAUCAUGACUGAACUUUCCGAAAUUAGUGUCAGAUACAAAGUCACAGUUCAGGAAACCUGCAGGGCAUCGUGUGGGAUAGAUGUAAGCACUGACUGCAGCAGGCUUGCUGAAAACAUAAGAAACCAAAAAUAAUUGUUAGGGUGUGAGGGUGAGCUGAAUGCAGAAGGUCAUAAUGCCUUUUAUCAGAAUUGACUGCCUGUCAGAGCAUCCCCUGCCUCUCCUAUUGAUCCAUUUGCCUCCUGGAGCACUUGCUUGGUCAUAGAGCACGCCUUCUUGAUAGAAGAGGACUUUAAAAUUAAUAUAAUUGAUAUGCUAAAAAAAGGAAAAACAUGAAACUGUACAAGAUGUUCAGUUAAAACCACAAAGGACAGAAAAAGAAUGAAAAAGAAUAUGAAAAAAAGAAAUCAAGUAACAAAAAAUUAAUAAAUCAUCUUGAAUGGUAAUGGCCUAAAUAUGCCAGUAAAAAGGCAGAAAUUGUUCAUGUAGGCCAAAAUAAAAUGUAGUUAUAUGCUUGCUGUCUACAACCUGCCUUGUAUAUAAUUCACAUACAGACUAAAAGUAAGCCAAUGGAGGAAGAUACGCCAUCCUAAUGUAAUCAGAUGUUAUGUUUUGAGUAGACCAGAGCAAGGAAGGUUGUCAGAGAUAGGGGCAUUCUAUAAUUUCAAGAGAAUAAGAACACAGAACAAUCCUUGAUAUGUAUACCCCUAAAGUAGAUCAUGAAAAUAUGUGAAGAAAAAGUGAUAAAACCCUGAGCAAGAAUAGAUGAAUGCAUAUAUUUGGAGACUUCAACACCAGCUGUGAGUAACAGAAAUAUCCCGCAGACAGGAAAAUCAGGAUAUAGUUGAACUUUACGAAACCAUCAAUCAACUGACUAUAAUGAACAUCUCUGAACCACUUCUGUAGCAUACUCUAAGCCAUAGCUUCCCAAACUGUGAACUGUGGUUCUAUAUGGGGACAUAGGACUGAAUGAGAGGGUCACAAAAAAGUUGACAGCAGUAAAAAUUUUCAAAACACACCAAAAUAAUUAAUUCAAAAUAAAGCACAUAAUGGACUGAUGUGUUUCUGGAAGCAUUUGUAUGUUUCUCUGUUGUAUGUGUUUACAUAUGUUUGCACCUGGUGCUAUGUUACAUGUGCUUGCAUGUGUUUCUGUGUUUUAUGUGUCUGCAUGUGCUUACAUGUGUUGCGUGUGUUGUAUGGAACAGCUUCACUUAGCCUUGGUUGUGAACAUUGAGCACACACACUUGGUAUGGUAUCAUACCACAGAGCACCAAUGAAAACUGUCUGGCACACUUCAGCUCAGCUUCCACUGUUCCAUACAUUGUGAAGUUAACGGUUUUACUGCACAUGCAAACUUUGCUGCUCUUGUUCACACAGCAUGGUUUAAUUAUGGAAAACAAAGGGUGCUUCGUAUUGUCCUUCCUUAUCAUGUGUUAAAUUAGUGCAUCUUUGAAUUAGAUUGUUUUAGGUUUUUAAAAUUGCUAAUUGGAAACCAAGUAAAAGGGGUGCAUGCCUGUAAUCCUAGUACUCAAGAAGUAGAGUCAGGAGACUCAGUGAUUCAAGACACAGAGGCAUGUGUGGGGACUUCAAGUCCAACGCUGGCUACAGGAGACCCUGUGCUAAUGUGAGAUAGAUAGAUAGAUAGAUAGAUAGAUAGAUAGAUAGAUAGAUAGAUAGAUAGAUAGAUAGAGAUAGAGAUAUGAGAUAUAUAUAUAUAUUAUUUGAGUAAUUCUUUAGAGUUUUAUAAGGCUUGGUGAUAGAAUAUUUGCUUAACAUGUAGAAGAGGUUCUAUUUUCUCUCUCCACUGUAAAAAAGAAAAGGGAAAGAAAGAAACCCUCACAUAGUCUCAGUUGCCCUAUAUCUUUUUAUAAUUUUUUGAGAUUAUAAUAUAAUAACAUUAUUUCCACCUUCCUUUUCCUUCCUUCAAACCCUCCCAUAUACUAGCCCCUUGUUCACUUUCAAAUUUAUAGCCUUUUGAUCUUGAAUUAUUGGUGUGUAUGUAUAUGCAUACUUGUGCAUGGGUGUGUGUGCAACCAAAAUAUAAAAUAUAUAAAAAUAUAACCUGCUGAGUCUGUAUCAUAUUACUUGUCCGUAUGCUUUCAGGGUUGAUCAUUUGGUUUUAGAUAACCAACUGGUGUGCUUUACCCUGAGAAAGACGACUCCUCCUGAUCUCAUCGUGCCUUAGCUGCCUGUAGUGCUCUGUCCCGGUGUGAGGCAUUCCUGAAUGUCCUUAGUGCACAUCAGCAUGUCACUUGUGUCUUCUUGUUUGAGUCGUGUUUAGGCAGCCAUAUAGGUGAGACUUCAUCAAUGUUUCUUCUUGGACAUUUCCAGGAGAAAGCAUCUCACAGCAAACUUCUGUUCCUCGGCUCUUACAAGCUUUCUGCUCCUACUACAGAGAACCCUGAGCCUUAGGUACAGGGGUUGUAGUAUAAGUGCAGCUCUUUGGACUGGGCUCUACAACUCUUCAUUGUGAUCACUUGUGGAUUUCUGUAGAAAAGAUCAUUUUUUCAGAGAGAAAUUUUCUUGAUGUGGGGAUGAGACCUACACUUAUGUGUGGCUAUAAAUAUUUAGAAUGUAUUAGGGACUGUGUUGGUGUAGUAAAGUGGCAGUUGUAGGUUCUCGUCUAAGAUUGUGGCUUCACUAGCCCUAGGUACUGGCUAAGUUUUCAGUACCAAGGAAGAUUCUUCUCUUAUUGAACGGAGCACUAUAGCUUUUAAAAUGGCUCAGCAAGUAAUGACCUUCCUCUUCAAAAAUGAAGGCAUUAGACUAACAUGACUUAUCAUAAAUUCUGCUAGCCUGUGAGGAAGAAGUUAUAUUGAUCCUCUGUUGUCUUUUUGUCAAGUUAGAAAAGGGCAGACUAUUUCCUAAUGCAUCAUGCUAGGUCGACAUGACCCUGAUAACAAAACUGGACAAGAAAAUGACAGGAUAUUAUCAAUCAGAAGCAGAAUUUCUAAAUUAAAAAAAAAAAAAGUCAAAUCCCAAAUGGACAAAAACAAACGCCAUGACCAAAUGGAAUUUAUUCCAGGUUGUGCAUGGCAGAGUCAAUAUUUAAAAA